rnacentral:rRNA from 1 species
AAAGGUUUAGAAGUGGCCGUGGACAAUGUGUUCCCUGGAGUAGAGCAUAGGGAAUGCAUGCGUCACCUUGCUGCAAAUUUCAUGAAGAAAUUCAAAGGAAAGGUGUAUACCGACAAUUUAUGGCCAGCAUCUUUGACAUGCAGUGUGAAGAAGCACAACUACCACUUGAGGCAGUUAUACAUGAAUCCCAAAGUGAAAGAAUACUUGGAAACACACCACUCCAAGUUAUGGGCUAGAAGCCAAUUCAGUGAAGUGAGCAAAGUUGACUAUGUGCACAAUAAUCUAGCAGAGUCUUUCAACUCAACGAUCCGGAAA